rnacentral:tRNA from 1 species
GGAGUUGUAGCUCAGUGUUAGAGCACUUGCCUAGCACAUGUGAGGCACUGAGUUCAAUCCUCAGCACCA